rnacentral:rRNA from 1 species
UACGGAGGGAGCUAGCGUUGUUCGGAAUUACUGGGCGUAAAGCGUACGUAGGCGGUUAUUCAAGUCAGAGGUGAAAGCCCGGGGCUCAACCCCGGAACGGCCUUUGAAACUAGAUAGCUAGAGUCUUGGAGAGGUUAGUGGAAUUCCGAGUGUAGAGGUGAAAUUCGUAGAUAUUCGGAAGAACACCAGUGGCGAAGGCGGCUCACUGGCCCGAUACUGACGCUGAGGCACGAAAGCGUGGGGAGCAAACAGG